UCAAACUUGGUCAUUUAGAGGAAGUAAAAGUCGUAACAAGGUCUCCGUUGGUGAACCAGCGGAGGGAUCAUUACAAGUCUAGCGACUCAACCCACUGUGAAACAACUCAAAAACACGCUGAGGCGGGCCGCUCGCUGGGGGAGCUGUGGCUGCUCACCGCGAAAGCGGUGGUGGUGGUCCGCCGAAGCACCAAACUCUACACUAAGAAAAAAAAAUCAACUGAAAAAAUUACAACCUACAACGAUGGAUCUCUUGGCUCUGGCAUCGAUGAAGAACGCAGC
rnacentral:misc_RNA from 1 species